rnacentral:rRNA from 1 species
AGUGAACGCUGGCGGUAGGCCUAACACAUGCAAGUCGAACGGCAGCACAGUAAGAGCUUGCUCUUACGGGUGGCGAGUGGCGGACGGGUGAGGAAUACAUCGGAAUCUACUUUUUCGUGGGGGAUAACGUAGGGAAACUUACGCUAAUACCGCAUACGACCUACGGGUGAAAGCAGGGGAUCUUCGGACCUUGCGCGAUUGAAUGAGCCGAUGUCGGAUUAGCUAGUUGGCGGGUUAAAGGCCCACCAAGGCGACGAUCCGUAGCUGGUCUGAGAGGAUGAUCAGCCACACUGGAACUGAGACACGGUCCAGACUCCUACGGGAGGCAGCAGUGGGGAAUAUUGGCCAAUGGGCGCAAGCCUGAUCCAGCCAUACCGCGUGGGUGAAGAAGGCCUUCGGGUUGUAAAGCCCUUUUGUUGGGAAAGAAAAGCAGCAGGUUAAUACCCCGCUGUUCUGACGGUACCCAAAGAAUAAGCACCGGCUAACUUCGUG